rnacentral:rRNA from 1 species
UGGGGAAUAUUGGACAAUGGGCGAAAGCCUGAUCCAGCCAUGCCGCGUGUGUGAAGAAGGUCUUCGGAUUGUAAAGCACUUUAAGUUGGGAGGAAGGGCAGUAAGCGAAUACCUUGCUGUUUUGACGUUACCGACAGAAUAAGCACCGGCUAACUCUGUGCCAGCAGCCGCGGUAAUACAGAGGGUGCAAGCGUUAAUCGGAAUUACUGGGCGUAAAGCGCGCGUAGGUGGUUCGUUAAGUUGAAUGUGAAAGCCCCGGGCUCAACCUUGGAACUGCAUCCAAAACUGGCGGGCUAGAGUAAGGCAGAGGGUGGUGGUAUUUCCUGUGUAGCGGUGAAAUGCGUAGAUAUAGGUAGGAACACCAGUGGCGAAGGCGACCACCUGGGCUCAUACUGACACUGAGGUGCGAAAGCGUGGGGAGCAAACAGG